rnacentral:lncRNA from 1 species
AUUUGAUAGAGAUAAGCAGAUGUGAAAAACAUUUGAAACGAAUCAAAUCAGAAUGCCUUACUUUAUCCUCAAGACUUGGAUAAAGUCAGUCUAAAUCUAAAUUCAUAGUACGGAAAAAGAAUACAUGACAUUUCAGAAUUGCUUCUGAAAUUUCUACUUUGAAGGUACUGUUGCUACAAGUGCAUUGAAGUGCACAUAACCCGUGAGUAGAGAUAAAGGACAUUUAAAGGUGAGAGAAGAGAAGUCUGACUGAAGAUUUGUAGCGAUGGCGAACAGCUGGACAUUGACGGUGGUCGUCCUCCUAAGUAUCUUUAUGGCAAGAAGUCAGACAAGAGGAGAUCAAGACACUGGAUCACAUCAGAAUCCAGCUUCUGCGGUUAAAAAACUGACAGUUUUCCAAGAGCAGACCUUUAUUUCGGGCAGCGAUGUGACUUUACGAUGUGACAACCUCACUGUUGUCAAAUGGAAUGAAUUAAUUUAUAUAAUCUGGAACAUCAGCCAGCAAAACAGAACGUGUUGGCUUGGUUUGUCCCCCAAGCUGGACG